rnacentral:rRNA from 1 species
AUUGAACGCUGGCGGCAUGCUUUACACAUGCAAGUCGAACGGUAACAGGCCGCAAGGUGCUGACGAGUGGCGAACGGGUGAGUAAUGCAUCGGAACGUGCCCAGUCGUGGGGGAUAACUACUCGAAAGAGUAGCUAAUACCGCAUACGAUCUAUGGAUGAAAGCGGGGGACCGUAAGGCCUCGCGCGAUUGGAGCGGCCGAUGUCGGAUUAGGUAGUUGGUGGGGUAAAGGCUCACCAAGCCAACGAUCUGUAGCUGGUCUGAGAGGGCAACCAGCCACACUGGGACUGAGACACGGCCCAGACUCCUACGGGAGGCAGCAGUGGGGAAUUUUGGACAAUGGGCGCAAGCCUGAUCCAGCAAUGCCGCGUGCAGGAAGAAGGCCUUCGGGUUGUAAACUGCUUUUGUACGGAACGAAACGGCUCUGGUUAAUACCCGGGGCUAAUGACGGUACCGUAAGAAUAAGCACCGGCUAACUACGUG